rnacentral:rRNA from 1 species
AACAAACGCUGGCGGCGUGCCUAAUACAUGCAAGUCGAACGGGGAAAGCUUUCGGGUGAGUACUAGUGGCGCACGGGUGAGGAACGCGUGGAUAAUCUGCCUUAGAGUGGGGGAUAACUAGUUGAAAGAUUAGCUAAUACCGCAUAAGACCACAAGAUCUGCGGAUCAAGGGGUCAAAGGUUUUUCGCUCUAAGAUGAGUCCGCGUAAGAUUAGCUAGUUGGUGAGGUAACGGCUCACCAAGGCGACGAUCUUUACCUGGUCUGAGAGGAUGAUCAGUCACACUGGAACUGAGACACGGUCCAGACUCCUACGGGAGGCAGCAGUAGGGAAUAUUGCACAAUGGAGGAAACUCUGAUGCAGCGACGCCGCGUGAGUGAUGAAGGCCUUCGGGUCGUAAAGCUCUGUCGCAGGGGAAUAACACAAUGAAGGUACCCUGUAAGAAAGGAUCGGCUAACUUCGUGCCAGCCGCCGCCGUAAAAC